CCUACGGGAGGCAGCAGUGGGGAAUAUUGCACAAUGGGCGCAAGCCUGAUGCAGCCAUGCCGCGUGUGUGAAGAAGGCCUUCGGGUUGUAAAGCACUUUCAGCGGGGAGGAAGGCGGUGAGGUUAAUAACCUCAUCGAUUGACGUUACCCGCAGAAGAAGCACCGGCUAACUCCGUGCCAGCAGCCGCGGCAAUACGGAGGGUGCAAGCGUUAAUCGGAAUUACUGGGCGUAAAGCGCACGCAGGCGGUCUGUCAAGUCGGAUGUGAAAUCCCCGGGCUCAACCUGGGAACUGCAUUCGAAACUGGCAGGCUAGAGUCUUGUAGAGGGGGGUAGAAUUCCAGGUGUAGCGGUGAAAUGCGUAGAGAUCUGGAGGAAUACCGGUGGCGAAGGCGGCCCCCUGGACAAAGACUGACGCUCAGGUGCGAAAGCGUGGGGAGCAAACAGGAUUAGAUACCCUGGUAGUC
rnacentral:rRNA from 1 species